rnacentral:rRNA from 1 species
CAGCGCCACAAGUGGCAAUCACGCUUAUUGGGCCUAAAGCGUCCGUAGCCGGUUUAGCAAAUCUUUUGUGAAAUCGUCAGGCUUAACUUGACGAAUUGCAGAAGACACUACUAAACUAGGGACUGGGAGGAGUCAGAAGUAUUCUGGGGGGACCGGUAAAAUGGUAUAAUCCCCAGAGGACUACCGAUGGCGAAGGCAUCUGACCAGAACAGAUCCGACGGUGAGGGACGAAAGCCAGGGGAGCAAACCGGAUUAGAUACCCGAGUAGUCC